rnacentral:rRNA from 1 species
CGCCUGUUUAUCAAAAACAUCUUUUCUUGUUAGUUUCUGAAGUAUGGCCUGCCCGCUGACGUAUUUUGAGUUGAAGGGCCGCGGUAUAUUGACCGUGCAAAGGUAGCAUAGUCAUUAGUUCUUUAAUUGUGAUCUGGUAUGAAUGGCUUGACGAGACAUGGGCUGUCUUGGGUGUAGAAUUUGUUGUUGAAUUUUGAGUUUAAGUUAAAAUUCUUAGAUGUUUUUAUGGGACGAGAAGACCCUAUAGAGUUUAACAUUUUAUUGCGUAUUUCUUGUUGUUUGUUUUAAAUUUUUACGUGUCUCUUGUUUUGUUGGGGUGAUGGGAGGAAUUUAUUUAACUCCUCUUUUUGUGUGGUAUAUUGAUGUAUAUAUUAUAUUGAUCCAUUUAUUUUGAUUGUAAGAUUAAAUUACCUUAGGGAUAACAGCGUAA